rnacentral:rRNA from 1 species
CGCGGCGGCUGGCACCGGUCUUGCCCGGCCCUUGCUAUGAAAUGCUUUUUAGGCAUCUCGACAGCCAGAUUUGUAACCUGGCACUCGAGGUUCCCUCAUCGCUGUUGCCAGCAUUGUAAAGUUUUCGCGCCUGCUGCACCCCGUAGGGCCUGGAUUCGUGUCUCAGAAUCCAUCUCCGGGCUCUUGCUCUCACAACCCGUACCCGUCGUAGGCUAGUAGGUACGCUACACCCACUACUACCUGAUAGGCCGCAGACCCAUCCUUAGGCGCCGGAGCUUUAAAUCUCGAUGCAUUCCAGCAAUCGAGACCUAUCGGGUAUUAUACCCAGUUUCCCGGGUUUAUACCCAACCUAAGGGCAGGUUGUCCACGUGUUACUGAGCAGUUCGCCAUGUAUUGCUACAUUCGACUCGCAUGGCUUAGUCGAANNNNNNNNAUNNCNNNNNNNNNNNNNNNNUNUGGGUCUCGCUCGUUACCUGACUUAACAGGAUGCUUCACAGUACGAACUGACGACGGCCAUGCACCACCUCUCAGCUAAUCCGGCAAAGUCUUCAGCCUGGCCUUCAUAUUGCUGUCGGUCCCGGUAAGAUUUCCGGCGUUGAAUCCAAUUAAACCGCAAGCUCCACCCGUUGUGGUGCUCCCCCGCCAAUUCCUUUAAGUUUCAGCCUUGCGGCCGUACUUCCCAGGUGGCUCGCUUCACGGCUUCCCUACGGCACCGACAACGGUCGCACCGUGGCCGACACCUAGCGAGUAUCGUUUACGGCUAGGACUACCCGGGUAUCUAAUCCGGUUCGUGCCCCUAGCUUUCGUCCCUUGCCGUCAGGUCCGUUCUGGUGAGACGCCUUCGCCACUGGUGGUCCUUCAAGGAUUACAAGAUUUCACCCCUACCCCUGAAGUACCUCUCACCUCUCCCGGCCUCGAGCCAGACAGUAUCUCCUGAAAGCCUGACAGUUAAGCUGCCAGAUUUCUCAAGAGACUUAUCCGGCCGGCUACAGACCCUUUAGACCCAAUAAUAACGGUUA